rnacentral:lncRNA from 7 species
AGGGGUGGGCGAAUGGGAAAGAGACGGGAGGGAAACGUCUCUCAAGAGAACGGGCUGGAGGAGAAAUCCGCGGCGCUUGGCUCGGGGGGAGAGGAAAAGCGGAGAAACGGCAAACGGCGUGUGCUGCAGUUGCCAGAGGAGUGAUGGGGGCUUUCAAGGGUGUGUGAUGGGGGUGCCACCACAGCCACGCAGCUGCCAGAGGGCAGUGGAAACGUGGAGGAGGAAAAUUAAGCUGUGAACUGGAAUUCCAUCAGGCUGUCUGCCGUGAAGCCCUGCGGCUUUAGCAAACAGGCAGCAGUGGUCAGAAAUGACACUCAAAAGAACUGUCUGCAUUAAUAACAAGUACCUCCACUUGGAAAUUAUUUACAUGAAACAUUGUUCUCACAUCACUGCUACUGACAGCGGCUCCGGACUGGGUGAGAGAAGGACACCGUGAUGAAUUUACCCAUACCUACCUUACUGUGCUGCGUGAGACGAGGAGAGCUCAAAGACUUCAGAGAAGUUUGAAACCUUAAUCCCUGAAUAAUGCCUCCACCUGCCUCCUGGUUUUCUUUGGGGACUUUCCAGCGCUGGCCAGUCCUGACCCUAUCUGACUUCAGGGACAAUCCCAGUGUCUUGGGCUCCGAAAAAAGAGUGAAACAGUGACUGGAAAUGGUGCAGAGCUCAAGGGAGAAGAAUCUCCAGGAACAGAUUUUGACCUCAAGACUAAGGCACGUUACGUGUGUGAAGGCCCAGCACCGCUGCUACGAUCCACAGCACUGCUCCCACAUACUGCCUGCCCAGGCCAGCUUACAUGCUGAUCAGGAUCUGCUGCAGCCUGGGAAUAAUCAGGCACCAGCUUCUUGGGCAGGUAAACUGCAUAAAAAGCAACAAAACAAACAGGACAAACCUGGAGUGGGCAUGUCCAGAAACCACGCCAUGGGAUUGCCGUGGGAGCAAUUCCCGUGAUGCUGGGCUGUUGGGUAGAACCUUCAACUGAGCUCUGGAUACGGUAGCGGCCAGCCAGGGCCGCACCUGAAGCACACAGGCAGUCCAGCAGCCGGAGCACAUAUGGGAGCACAGGCAUGGCAGCCACAUUCCAGAGCUUCAGGGCUUUGGCGCUGUAUUUUCUUUUCUGCCACAGCCUUCCUGCGGGACACCUGUGGCCUUUGCAUUGUUCUGGGCAGACCUGUGCUGGGUUGUGCCUCGGGGAGCAGCCCAAGCACCAGCAGCCCUUCCUGCGGGGUCACUGCUGAGAACAAGCCCUUAAACAACGCACCCAGCCCAGGGACUCACAGCAUGUAGGCCUGGCCUCCAAACUUGUUAGCCCUCAGACUGGGGGAAGGUUGCAUAUGUUUCCUUACAGGGCUCGUCUAAAGCACAAACACAGUUAGAAACUCACCUUCCAUGGGAAAUGGAGGGGGCUGUGCCGGUGCAGAGCCACACCAUGUGGCCAUGAAGGUGCCUGGCAGUGGCUUGCUUAUGGCUGCACAGUGGAAUGGAAAGGAUUGGGAGCACAGGGUGUUGGAUUGCUGUGGGCUGUUGGGUCGCUGGGGAGUCAACGGGACACAGGCUGCAGGGGCCACAUGUGCUGAAAGGCCAAGGGCCGGCUCCUCUGCUGCAGGCUGGGCCUUGAGGAGCUGAACAAGAGGAGGUACAAAGGAACACGGGGCUGUGCUAGGAUUGGUUUCCUGUUUUAUGUCUUUCUGCAUAUCCACUCUAUCCAAAUGCAGGCAUGUGUGUAAACAGCGCCAGUCCCCCAUGCCUGAAAUGAAAAAUAAUAAAAAUAUAUUUACAUGACUUUAACAUUAGGCUAUUAGAAAGCAGCAGUCAGUAUAACAGAGAGGAGAAAAAAUUACAAAGAAUGAUUUGCAUAGCAAACGCAUUUCACAGUUGUUUUGGACAAAUGCCCUCGGUAAAUAUGUUUAAAGUCAUGUACAACAAGAAUAUUUUAUCACAAGUAACCAUGUUUUAAUAAACACUUCGUCUUUUGGUAU